GGCUCGGUAGCUCAGUUGGUAGAGCAUAGGACUGAAAAUCCUAGUGUCGGCGGUUCGAUCCCGUUCCGAGCCA
rnacentral:tRNA from 2 species